UACAGAGGGCGCAAGCGUUGUUCGGAAUCAUUGGGCGUAAAGGGUGCGUAGGCGGCGCGGUAAGUCGGGUGUGAAAUCUCGGAGCUUAACUCCGUAACUGCAUUCGAUACUGCCGUGCUUGAGGACUGGAGAGGAGACUGGAAUUUCCGGUGUAGCGGUGAAAUGCGUAGAUAUCGUAAGGAAGACCAGUGGCGAAGGCGGGUCUCUGGACAGUUCCUGACGCUGAGGCACGAAGGCCAGGGGAGCAAACGGG
rnacentral:rRNA from 1 species